rnacentral:rRNA from 1 species
UGAGGAAUAUUGGUCAAUGGGCGAGAGCCUGAACCAGCCAAGUCGCGUGAAGGAAGAAGGUUCUAUGGAUUGUAAACUUCUUUUGUAAGGGAAUAAAAAGUAGUACGUGUACUAUAUUGUAUGUACUUUACGAAUAAGGAUCGGCUAACUCCGUGCCAGCAGCCGCGGUAAUACGGAGGAUCCAAGCGUUAUCCGGAUUUAUUGGGUUUAAAGGGUGCGUAGGCGGACCCUUAAGUCAGUGGUGAAAGUU